CUUGGUUAAUUACUAUCUUUAAGACACACCUCAGACAUCUAUCACCUCUAUGAUGUCCUAUCACCCUUCUUCCCAGCCAUUACCCAAGUUGGGUUAGAUGUCACUCUUGUUGGUUCCCAUUAUAUGAAAAAUAACAAGCUAUUUUGUGGGUUUUUAUUCUUGUAUCUGGCUCCUCAAGGAGGCUUAGCUACUUAAGGUCAAGACCUAUAAGUUAGUCUUCUUGAGAAUUCUCAGUACCGAGCUCAGUGCCUAUGAUGAGAAUCC
rnacentral:lncRNA from 10 species